UACGUAGGUGGCAAGCGUUGUCCGGAUUUACUGGGUGUAAAGGGCGUGUAGCCGGGAAGGCAAGUCAGAUGUGAAAUCCGGAGGCUCAACCUCCGAAUUGCAUUUGAAACUGUUUUUCUUGAGUACUGGAGAGGCAGACGGAAUUCCUUGUGUAGCGGUGAAAUGCGUAGAUAUAUGGAAGAACACCAGUGGCGAAAGCGGCUCUCUGGUCUGUAACUGACGCUGAGGUUCGAAAGCGUGGGUAGCAAACAGG
rnacentral:rRNA from 1 species